rnacentral:rRNA from 1 species
AUACGGAGGGUGCAAGCGUUGUUCGGAAUCACUGGGCGUAAAGGGCGCGCAGGCGGUUUGGUAAGUCAGAUGUGAAAGCCCAUGGCUCAACCAUGGAAGUGCAUUUGAAACUGUCAGACUUGAGUACUGGAGGGGAAAGUGGAAUUCCCGGUGUAGAGGUGAAAUUCGUAGAUAUCGGGAGGAAUACCGGUGGCGAAGGCGACUUUCUGGCUAGAUACUGACGCUGAGGCGCGAAAGCGUGGGGAGCAAACAGCAUUAGAUACCCUAGUAGUCC